rnacentral:rRNA from 1 species
UACGUAGGGUGCAAGCGUUAAUCGGAAUUACUGGGCGUAAAGCGUGCGCAGGCGGCUAUGCAAGACAGAUGUGAAAUCCCCGGGCUCAACCUGGGAACUGCAUUUGUGACUGCAUGGCUAGAGUACGGUAGAGGGGGAUGGAAUUCCGCGUGUAGCAGCGAAAUGCGUAGAUAUGCGGAGGAACACCGAUGGCGAAGGCAAUCCCCUGGACCUGUACUGACGCUCAUGCACGAAAGCGUGGGGAGCAAACAGG